rnacentral:piRNA from 1 species
UGCCUCAAAAGUGCAACCUGAUGAGGG